rnacentral:rRNA from 1 species
GACGAGGGAUCCUAGCGUUGUUCGGAAUCAUUGGGCGUAAAGGGUGCGUAGGUGGCUACGUAAGUCAGUUGUGAAAGCCCCGGGCUCAACCCGGGAAGUGCUUCUGAUACUGCAUAGCUUGAAUGUUGGAGAGGUGAGUGGAAUUCCAGGUGUAGUGGUGAAAUACGUAGAUAUCGGGAGGAACACCAGUGGCGAAGGCGGAGACCUGGGCCAAUACUGACGCUGAGGUGCGAAAGCGUGGGGAGCAAACAGG